rnacentral:lncRNA from 1 species
UCAGAUGUUAUGUGGUUUAUUGAUGCGUGAGCAAGUCCUCCGUGUUGGCGCCGUUUUCGCCUCCGGUCUCCUCCGUGCCAUUCACUUCCUCCAGCACAACUGGAAACAGCUUGCACACGACAUCUCCACCGCAACCUUAAAUCCCAAAAUCACGGACCCUUGUCUCCGUGAAUGUAUAGUCUCCAAAUAUUUAACAAACCCGAAUCCGGAGCUGGCGGAACUCAUCUCAAAGGAAUGCUCGACGGAGGAGUGGGAAGGGAUUAUCACGAGAAUAUGGCCAAAUACUAAAUAUUUGGAUGUGAUUGUGACGGGAGCCAUGGCUCAGUAUAUUCCCACUCUCGAAUUUUACAGCGGUGGCUUACCCAUGGCUUGCACUAUGUAUGCUUCUUCCGAGUGUUAUUUUGGGGUAAAUUUAAACCCAAUGUGUAAACCCUCGGAUGUAACUUACACCAUCAUGCCAAACAUGUGCUACUGCGAAUUCAUCCCCCUCGACAACGAUAUGUCGUCUUCUCCAACUCAGCUUGUUGACCUCGCUGACGUGGAAGUAGGGAAAGAGUACGAGCUCGUGAUCACAACAUACUCUGGACUCUGUCGUUACCGAGUCGGAGACAUCCUACACGUCACUGGGUUCCACAACGCAGCCCCACAGUUUCGAUUCGUGAGGAGGAAGAAUGUUCUUUUGAGCAUUGAUUCCGACAAGACAGAUGAAGCCGAGUUACAGAAGGCCAUAGACAACGCCGCGUUGUUGUUGCGGGGGUUUAACACUAGCGUGGUGGAGUAUACGAGCUAUGCGGAUACGAAAACAAUCCCGGGACAUUACGUCAUUUAUUGGGAGCUUCUUGUGAAAGACGAAGAAACUGGAAAUUUCCCUCCAGGAGAGAUUUUAAAUCAGUGUUGUUUGGCUAUUGAAGAGAGUUUGAACUCGGUUUACCGACAAGGCCGAGUUGCGGAUAACUCAAUUGGACCGUUGGAGAUUAGGGUGGUGAGAAAUGGGACAUUUGAAGAGCUAAUGGACUAUGCGAUCUCGAGGGGUGCGUCGAUCAACCAGUACAAGGCGCCACGGUGCGUCAACUUCACACCCAUUAUCGAGCUUCUCGACUCUAGGGUGACUUCUGUUCACUUUAGUCCAUCCAAGCCACACUGGACACCAGAACGACGCGGCUAGAGACAUCAAUCAGUUUUUUAGGGUUGCCUUCUCAAAAUUGUUUUGAUGUGUAGGUUUUAUCUUAUAAUAUGUAUGCUUCUUAUUCCUUAAUAAUUAAAGGAUACAAAUAAUAAGUAGUCUUACCUUUUCUCACCCCACGUCUCUAACCAUGCAGAAAUUGCUCAGAUUGUAAAAUUUAAAAUACUCGACAUAUAAUGAAUAAUGCUCCCUUAUUAAUUUAAGAAAUUGUGAUAUAAAUUUUCAAACAAUUUCUUAAAAAUAUGAUAAAGUUAGAUAAUAUAAUUUUUUUGUUUUAUUAAAAAAAUUUGAGGGGAGGAAUACUUUGACCUUCAUAUUCUUGGCCAAUAAUUAGUAAUAAUUAGUAUUGUUCAAAGACUAUUCUAUUGGACAAAACCAAUUGGAGGGAGAUGGCAAUAAUAAUAAUAAAUAAAAUAAAAGUCAAAUCGAGCAUAAUGUACGGUGUUAAAUAAAAUUUGUAUUAGGUUAGUAAAUGAAAAUAAAUAAUUUUAUUCUUGCACGAUAUUAAAAAGUAAUUGUAGAUCUAGUCACUUUUUAUAGUUAAUGUGUAACAUAUCACAAAGACCAAGAAAGUAAAUCCCUAGUUUUUUAGCGCAUUUAACAUGACUUAAUUAGUUAAUUCACAUUUCUUUAUUCAAAUUCUCCUGCUUCUAUUUAUUGAAAAAUAAUUCCAAUAUUUUAAAAAUGAUAAUACUGAUAAUUUUAAAUAUAUUAAACUUGUAUUAGAAUGGUAGUUUUCACAAUCCAUGGAUCUAUAUGCUGCUUGAAAAUAAUUGUAACUUGAUUAACCGGUAGAAACACUAUUUAUUUAUAUGAUCAAUCGGAGAACAUGAAACGCGAACUUAAAUGGGCCUAUGGGCUAUCAUGGACCGCAGAUAUCAGAACACAACGGGUGGGCUUAUUGGUGAAACAGAGAGAAUCAAACUUAUACUUACUUUUCUUAUUGGGCCUAUGGGCUUAUUGGGCCUCGUCUAUACCAAAUUUUUAGAACAGUAAUAGGUUAUUAUAUUAUCUAAUAUAAAUGUAAAUUACGUAAUUACCGAAUCAAUAACCUAUACUUUCUUUUCUUCCUACAACAAUUGGUGAAACAGAUAAUCAAAUUACAGAUUUCGUGACUAUAAAAGUUAUCCGAUGAUAAUUGAGUUAAACUCUCGUUGAUGAAUCAAGGAGCUAAACUAUUGUUGAUGAGUCAAGAUAUUACACGUACUUCUAUACCAUUUGGAAUAUUUUUCCUUUGCAUGUUUAUUCAAUUUUAUGCACCUGCCUUCACACACCUAAUAUUAAUAUUGUUUUUUAUUUCUUGAAGCUUUGUUCUUAUUCUAUUUUCUGUUUUUUUUUUUUUUUUUUUUUGCUAUAUUUUUAUGUAUUAGUUUGCUUUUUAUUUUAAAAUAUUCGAAGUUAAAAAUUACCUUAAUUUUUUUUGAAAGAAUUUUUUUUACUAUGACUUUUAAAUUUCGUAAUAAGCAUAUUUCAUAAUUGUUUUUUUUAUAAUUUAUUUGAAACGGAAUUUUAGCAAUGUAUAAAUUUUGUUUGCUAAUUUUUCUUUUCAACUUUACUUAAUAUUUUACAAUCACAGUAUUUAUAUAAUGAUAUUACCGAUCUAGAUUUGAUGAAAAAAAUAUUGCAAGUCAAAUUUUGUAUUUAACAACUAUAUAUGAAAUUUUUGUAUCAUCAUUUUUUAUAUUUAAAUGUACGUUAUACAUUUUUUAUUUUGCAUAAUUAAAAUAUAUUUAAGUCAAGUAAGAAAAUACAAGAAAGUAGAAACGAAAAGUAGUUAUGAAACAAAAGUCUACAACAAUUUCAUAAUUUCUUAUUUAAAAAAAAUACCAAUCAUCUUCUAUACUCUAUAGUAGAAACAAAAAACAUAAUAUUAUAUGAAACGAUGUGGAAGAUCAUCGUUUUUUUUUUUUCAAGUAAAGAAAUGAUGGAGCAGAACGCUAUUAAAUAGUGGAAAGAAAAAUCAAAGGGGAAUUACAAAAUUUUCAAAUGAAUGAUGAGAAUAAAAGAUUAAUAAAGUUGAUUCUUCUUGUGACAGUGAAAGGGAAAAAAAAAAUGAAGGAUUGACCAAAAAUAAUGUAUAUUCUUGUAGGGGACAAGAGAAGCAAAAUUUCAACGAAUAUGUUCACUAAUUAUUAAUAUUAGAUAUGCAACAGAUAAUAGACUACUUAAUCCUACACUAAACACAAUAUACACCCUAAUUAACCACUAUUUUUAGAUAAUUGUCAAUAUAUAUAUAGAAACACACACACACACACAUUUGUUGGGUAUUUUCUUGAGAGAGGAAAUGUUAGCUUUUGACCACAGGAUCUGUCAUGGUUACCCAUCAACUUGGACUCAACUAGAGUUCUUAGACCAAAAAUCAAAAUAUAUAAAAAAGAAUCAAACCAUUUUAUUUUUUAUUAUGCUAUUUAAAAUAAUGGCAUUUAUUCCUAUUUUAAAUAGUUUUUCAAAUUACCUAAAAACAGAUAUGAAAAUUGAGUCAAAUCACAAACAAAAUCAAAAUUUUGAAACCACUUUUGUUUUUUUAAAAGGAAAAUAGUAAUAAUGAUAAUAAAAUAAUAAAAGGAAUAAUAGUUUGAAAAGUAGUAUUUAUCAUUUUUCAAAAAAAUUCAUUGUUUCGUCAGUAUUUAUUAUUAGUACUAGGAAUUUAUAAGAGAAAUUCUUACGAGUAUACUAUUUUUAUUUAAUCAGUAUAACAAACGCUAUGAUUUGAUGUUGUUGCAUGUAGAAUUAAUUUUAAGUUAGAUCAUAUUAUUUCCAGGUUCCUGUGUGUGUUGGACAUUUUGCUUUAUCGAUAUUAAGCAGGAGCAGGAGCAGGAGUAAUGAUAAUAAUAAUAAUAAACUUGUUCAAUUAGGAUUAGUAUUCGAUGUAAUUUAUUGGGUAGGUUGGAAAAAAAGUUAACCUACACAUUUAAUCCAUAAACUUUUGGUUAAUUUUUCAACUUCAUCUCUAAACUUUUUAAGAAAUAUAAUAUAUAUUCGAAAUUUUGUCUAAUAAAAUCGUUGAAUUUACAAUUUUUUAUGUAAUAAUUAUAUAUAUAUAUAUAUAUAUUUUCAUGAAGACAAAUUAGGGAUAGAUCAGAACUUUGAAUUUUAUAUAUGUCUAAUAAUUGAUCUAUUAGAUACUAUUAAAUUUCUUGUAAAAUCCAAAUCUAAAUUUUGAAUUUAAUUUUAAAUAGAUACGUAAAUAAAAAAAUUUAGGGGAUAGAUCAAGAAUCUUUUAGCUACACAAACUUAAAAAAAUUAGGAUGUAUUGGACGCAAAAGUAAAAUAUUUGAGGAUUGAUUAAAUAUUUUUUUAAGUUUUAAAAUUAAAGAGAUAUAAAAUUGAAAAUUAAAAAAAAUGUGUGAUUUGUGUUUUACCUCAUAGAUCUAAUUGAUAUAAAUUUGAGAGUUCAGGCUCUUAAUUUUGAACACUUUUAAGUUGAAGAUUAAUUUUUAUCAAACACUUUUGAAAGUUGAAAGAUUAAACUAAACAUACAAAACUUUAAUAAAAGUUCAAGAAACUAAACAUUUAUUGGACUUACAUAUGGUUUGAACACAUUAGAAGAAUCUUUAAAAAUGACAUAAAGCCUCCAGAUCAAUUAUGGAAAUACAUACUAAAAUGACUCUCAAUUAGAUGACUUUUCUCUAGUCUAUCAUCAUCUCUAACGGAUCGAUUUUUGUACUCUUUAACCUUAUGCAUUUAAUAUAUUAAAGAUAUUCAUUUGGUAUGGAGUGUGAUGAGAGUGCUAAAGAUGUAUUACUCUCAUGGAGAUAUUUGGGUACGCCUAUGAUAUAUUUUCGAUAUCGAAUUUUUUGAAAAAAAAGUGUAAUUGGACAAACAUUGGAAAUGUUUUGGACAUCCUAUGGUACCCUAUUUCUUUUGAUAAAAACUAGACAAAGUUAGAAAAUGGGGAGACACUUUGUUUAAGAUAAAACGUAAAGUAUUGUAAUUAAAAAAGAAAUGUGUCAAAGGGAAUAUUAAGUAGGGUUUUGAGAGACCAUUAUUAAACACAAAUUAACCAAUCAAUUCAAAAAGGGCAAACGCAUCUUUCUUAACCACCGACCUGUUGUUGUUUUGAAUAAAAACAUUUGUCAUUGUAGCUGGCCAUGAAGCUAAGCUAGGGCUUAGCUUUAGCUACCUUCAUAUGUCGACAACAUAUGGGCAAAUAUCAGUUUUGUGUGUCUAUUCAUUCACUGCAAAGUGCAUCUGCUACAAAUCCAAACAUGUCAUAUUAUAGUCAUAUUAGUCGUAGACCCGAUUCAACUCGACCGAUUCAUGUUCACCUCUAAACGUUUAUUGUAUACAUCAACGUCUAAAGUAUGUGGGUGUUUAUAAUGAUGUUAGUUGAUGAUCAUGAUUUUUUUUUCUCUUAUUAUUAUUAUUAUUAUUGAAAUGUCUUGAAUAUGUGUUUAGCUAUAUCAUUCUUAUUAUAAUAAAGUUGUUUCUUUCCUUCGUUGUUUACGAAGAAUGACAUAGAUAAACAUACUACUUGUGAUGAACCAUAUCAAUCCAUAUAUGUGAGUUCUUUUUUUUGUGCAUGACAAUGUAAUAGAGUUAUACAACAAUAUCAAUGAUCUAUAUUCAUAUUGUUACACUUGUUAUUUUAUUUUAAAAAAAAUUAUGAUGAAUGUUUACUUCAGAGAAGAGAUUAUUGGAAGUACUACCAAGACCGGACAAUAUAUAUCUACAAAAGAAGAAGUUCAUGACUAUAUAAGAGUGAGAAAUGAUAUCUACAUCCUUACUGCAUCUCAAAUCCAAUUGGUGUGUUCCUUAAUCCUUGCAAAUGCCAACAAUCUUGGACCAUCUUCUGAUGCAAUAUCCUUAUUCGAUAAUGAUUCUCUUUUCUCAUAACUCGGCAAAGAAAUUUCUAAUUGCUUCUUGAUGCACUAAAUCUAUAUAUCCUUUUUUGUAAUUAUAAUGAAAUAAUUGUAUCUCUUAAUUGAAAUGUUCUUACUUUGAUCAUAUUUUGUAUAUUUAUUGUUUAAUGAACAACAUGUCAAGAAAAGGGAACAUGUUUUCAUUGACACAUGAUGUAUAUUUUGAGUGAUUCUAAAAACAAUAGCAAGUGAUUGAGAACUUAGUUGUUUAAGGUAGACAAUAUAUAAUAUAGUUACAUGAAGAUAUUUAAGAAGUGUGCUGUUGUCCCAACAAUUUUGUGCUGAGAAACAUAUGGAUAUAUAAAAACAGUGACAAUGGUUCAAAAAAAGGAAAAUUGAAACACAAAGGGAUAAAGAUUAGAAUCCAAAGAGAGUGGGUUUCUUUUGAUAGGAUGAUUAAACUUUGAUUUCACAUUGAAAAUUAAUCUCAACUAGUUUUUUCUCCAUCGAUAUCCUUUCCCUAACAUAUAUUUAUAUUUGGAUUGACAAUUAUGGAUGUUGGUCUGAUUCAAUGCAUGGUCCUAAAAGUUUUGGAACUUGCCUCAUUUUAGCCAAGCAAAAAUGCUAUCCACAAUCCAAUCUAUUUCUCCAAAUUCUUUUGUGGUGGGUGAGCACUUUAUCAUUUUUUUUGAAGUAUGAUUUAUUUUAAUCAAUCCUUUGAUCCCUUUACCUAAUUGGAUGAGUCAAUAAAAUCCUAACAAAAUAAUUGAUACCAAAAAACACAUAAAUACAUCCUAAACAUGUGUCCAACACAAUUACAAAAACUAAACGUUUGUAUAAAGAGUCUCCCUCAAUCUAAAAGUUGUUUGUGCCUAGCCACAAAUCUCCAAAAGAUAUAAUCAUUGUGGUACAACACUAUAGAAUAUGUCAUUCCAUAUCAAAUUUAAGCAUAGUAAUUUAGUUAGAUAAGACUAGAGAUGUUUCACCCGUGAAAUGGAGCUGGAGAUGACUUUUGCGUUCUUGUCCAUGUCCUUGUUUCGUUCUCCAUCUUCUUGAGAUUUUUUAAUUAAUUUUCGUUGAUUUAGUGCUCAACCCAAAAUUCAAUUUAUAUAUACUAGGAUUAACCUUUUUCAAUAAUAUAGUUAAUUUUUGUGGAAAAAUUAUUUAAAUGAGAUUAAUUCCAUAUGAAAAAUUUUUAAAUUAAAGAGACAUUAAUUAAAUUUUUGUAGUAUAAUAACAACCAUAGUUAUAAUAAUAAAUUACAAAAUUAUAGAAGGCAAACAAACCUAUGAUGUCUAAUUCAAUGGGAAUCUCCACUCAAUUAAUUAAAGCCAAAUUUUUACAAUUUCUAUCCUUGAUCAACUAGUUAAUGGUAAAAAGUUAAAAAUUCAAUUUAACUCAAUCCAACUUAAUUUUAGCCACAAACAAUCAUUUGUCGUACAAUUACUUCUUCCAUAUUAAAAGUUAAAUCCUACAUCUUUACUAAAAAUAAAAUGAAAUAUUGUUUUUUUAGGGUAGGGGAGUAUUAAUUAAUAAUUAUAAAUGAAUAUAUAUAAUUUGAUUUUGGACCCACCGAUUGACAAAGUGUUCCACAUCCACGAUUACGAGAGAGAUCAUCGCAUUAAUAUCAAAUCCCAAGCUAAGAAAGGCACGUGAAAAGGUAUUUUUAUUAAUUAGUUCAAAUAUUUUCAUAAUAAUUAAGCUAAGCUCACGAGUGUUCGAUUUAUCUUUCAUUUAAUUUAUCAAAACAUUAUUUUUUUUAUUAUUUCAAUUUAUAGUAAUGUUUGCCUAAAGAAGGGUACUUUGUUUUAUUUUUGUGCCGACUCACACAUGCGUGAACUUAAAAGUGCGUUCUUUAAAAUCAUAACAUUUACAUUAAUUAACUUUAUACUAUUACUGUUGUUGUUGUUAUUAUAUAUACGUUCUUGGUUGCAAAAAUGAAUAGAGAGAUGGGAAAAUAUGAGGUAUUAUAAUAACAACACCAAAUAAAAUUUUACAUGAAAAUUAACGGAAGACUGUCAUUUCUUUUUAAUUAAAAAUUUUUAUCCAACUGUGAGAUGACAAGUAUAGUCAAUCUAACUAUUUAGGUAGUUCAAAAUAUAUAUAUAUAUAUAUAUAUAUAUAUAUAUAUAUAUGUCAUAAUUAUUAUUCCUUAUUUUUGUAGUUGAAAAUUUAAUUUUGCACUUUUAAUUUGUAAUUAAUGGUCACUUUGAAAAUAAAAUCACCUAAACAAGGGUAAGAUAAAACCUAUAGGUACAAAACCCUAUACAUGCUACCAAUACCAACCACAUGCCCAAAAGUGAAUAAAAUUAGACUUAUUAUUGCUUCAAUCAACCCUAAUAGAGAGGUAGCUAGUAUAUAAUACAUAUUUAUACUUUAGACAAAAAAAAAAAAAAAGAAUCUUUCAAAAUUUGUGGAUGUGUGUGACAUGUAAGAGUAAAUGUUAGUUCGACGAGAUUGUAUAGUUUAUCGUCAUAUAUGACUUUACAAUGCUAUAGAUUACAACCUAACCAAUGAACAAACAUACGUAGGGAAUUUUUUCACACAAAGGCAUGGAAAGCACCAUCUAAGGAAGAAAAGUUGUGCAAGUCAUAUCAUAUAAGAUUCUUAGAUGAGAAAAACAAUAUAUAUAUUAUAUGAUGGUGUAAUGAAUGAAUAUAACAUGGGUGCCUUACUUUUGUAGGGCAAAAGGAAAAGAAAACAAAAUAUCUUUCUCAAAUAUAUGGUCAUUUUCAGAAUAUAUACAUAUAACAAGUUUAAAAGAGUUUGUAGUUUUGUGAGGUAAGAGUUAAAUACAAGUGCAUGCAUAUGUCUUGUCUGGUUUUAUUUUGAUUAUUGCUUGUCCCAAUUGUCACUCUAAAAUAUAUUGUUGUCGUUGACUCAAUUAAAAUCCUAAGCUUCAAACAUCAUUUUCUAUCCACUCCACAGCCAGCUCUCUUCUACCUCUUUUUUCAUCCCAUCUUCUUCCUCGUAUACGUGUGUUUCUUUCCCACUUAUAUUAUCAACACGUGUGUGUCUGUGCUCCCAACCCAUGCAUCUAAAUUCAACUCAACCUUUUUGCAACUUUAAAGUCCCAAAAUACAUAUAAUACAUAGAGAUAUUUAUAAUAAAUUCUAAUAUUUAGUUGGAGGUUUCCAUGCAUCUUCUAAUCGAUCUUUUUUAGUAUAUUUCUCAAAUAAUUGUUUCCAAUCCAACAAUUUGUUUCCAAUUCUCUUUUUAAAAUUUCAUUAUCUUCUCAUUAAUCCAUGGUUAAUUGUAUGAUAUACUCCGUUCAAAUAAUUUUUAGAAAAAUCUUCGACCGACUCGCAUUUGAGAGAUUGUUAUAAGCACGAUAUGUUUAAGAUUUUUGUAAUUAUAUAAAACUUCUUUAAUUUCUUGGACAUUUGUUUAGCCUGUCCACUGUUUUCAUUAAUGAUAGUCUGAAGUAUCGUUAAAAAAAAAAAAAAGUGUGUGGGAGAAACAUAUGGAAAAGCUACAGGAGAGUGUAGCAAAAUCUAGGGCUAUAGAAGAAGGGCUGUAAUUUGUAAAAAGUUGGUAGUGAAUAUCUUUGACUGAUUUAGAUGGUACACCAAACUAAGUUCGUAACCUAAAUUGUAGAAUUUACCCCAAAUGUCUCUCAAAUCAAAUAAUUAAUACAGUAUUGUACUAACAAUUUUUUUAAUUUAACAAAUUAUACAGAAGACAUCAAACCAUCCAUCUUUAAAAUAAAAAUUGAAGUCUUUAUUUACUAAAUUAUGUUUGAAUUGACCUUAAUUAAUAUUAAUACUCAAAACAUACUUUUUGCCCAAAUAGUUUGGGAAAGGUCAAUUUGUAAAUUCAACUUAUUUGUUUUUAUUUUUGUAGUUUAGUAGUACGUCCUACCCUUAUCAUGCGUGAUUGAAGGAUUUUUUUAAUUUAAUUGUUAAAAAAGAAAAGAAAACUAUAUCUCUCACUGAUUAAUUUCUCUAUCUCUUUUGAGGUCCAAAAGGGUUGCUUUCUGAACGCCAUAUUCGUAUCAAAACAAAAAUUUCUUUACCCCUUACCUAAUUUUAUCAACUAAUUCGGUAGAAACUGAGACUUGAACCUAAGUUUAGAAAGAUUUAAGAAACUAAUUUAUCUUUAAGAUCAAUUAAUAAUUUAAUAUAAAAUUAAUUUAUAUAUAUAUAACGAAUUCAAAGUUGAGGGAGUUCGGAUGGUAAUAACUUUAUUAUAAAUAUAAUAUAUAUGUUAUGAACACAAUCCUUCCCUUAUCACAAGAUUUGUUUUUCUUUUCUUUUUAUAAAUUGACCUGAGUAUGAUUGUGAGAAUGACCAUACCCUUUGAACAAUAUAAUGUACAAAUAUAGGUAUUAGUAUAGUACACGUAAUGUAUUCUCUAUGUUUUAUUAUUUUUAUAUUAAUUAAAAUAGGGACAGUUUUGGUGUUUAUUGAGGGCAGUAGGGAAGGAGGAUCUAGUUUAGGAGAUUUUAUGUUUGCAUGUGAACCUCAACAGUGUUACUAACUUGUUAUUCUUACAUUUAUGAAUUUGAAUAAGUACAAGUAAUUUCUCUUUAACUUUUAAUUCAAUGUUUUGACUUUAUGUAGCGUAAAAUUCUUAUUUAUUUCAAAAUUUUCUAUAAAAAUAAAAUACUUAUGCUCAAUUUCGAAAUAAACCCGUACGUUUACCAAGAGAAAUUCACUUAAAAUAGAAGUGUUCUUGAGGAAUAGUUUAGCAAAAAAAAAAAAAAAAAAUUAUAUUUCUAAAAAAUAUGUUGGCUUUCAGAUUGAUGAGUGAUUUUAAGGUAGCCUCAAAAUUGAUUGUUCAGUGUUUAAAUCUAUACAAUAUCAUUCUUGCAUUGAUAUUUAUUUUUCACAUAGUAAGUAUUCAACAAAUUUUUAUGUCAUACAAAUCAGGAAGAAAACAUCAUGAUAUAAUUAAAUUUUACCAUUAUCUAUCAAUUUGAUUAUUAUUAUUAAAAAAGAAACGCUUUUGAGUUUAUUAAUAUGAGUUAACAAGAAAGAGAUAGGGUUGGUUAGAUAUAUACUGUGGUUCAAAAUUACUUUUAAAAUUAAUUAUUAUGUAGUAGCUAUAAACAAACAUAAAACUAAAAUAUGGUUAAAAGUUAUGUACGGUUCGUUUCAUGCUUCAUGUUCUUAUCUAUUCCAUUUCAAAUUCAUUUUUUAAAAUAUUUUAUUCCAUCUCUGUUCUUUCAUUUAUGGAUCAUAAUAUAAUCUUCAUUAUACACUUCAUAUUUUUCUAUGAAUGAUUUUUGUGAUUUUAAUUUAAAGUGCACCUUCAUAAGUAUAUUAAUACUAUAACCAUCAAUUAGGUUGCCGUUGGUUUUUCAAUUUUUUGUCAAAUUGUUUAAUCUCAGUUUUGUCAAGAAUCUUUUCCAGUCUUUAAAAAAAAUUUAGCCAGGCUCAAUAAAAGAAAAGAAAAACAGUUUCUUCUAUCCAAACACAAUGAAUUUUGAAUGCAGUGAUUAGUGUCAAAAUAUGGGGUAGAAAUGAAAUUUUAAAAAUAAAAUGUCUAAUUUAAAUUCAAAAACUAAAUAUAAAUUAAAUUUUAGUGACUAACAAGAGUUUAACUUAACUAGAUAAAGAGAUUCGAGUUAAAGUAUAAAGGAUGUACUUCAUCCAUGUAUAUUGGAAAACAUAAAAUUGAGUAAAUUAGUGGAUAGAACGUGUGGACAAGUUUUUGACAAACUCCUUCCAACCUAACUGUGUGUUCUGAAUGUAAUAAUAUGAGAAAAUUUGGUAAGAAUAAAGAACCAUAAUUUGUCUCAAUGUUUGACCAUUUUUUUGCAUUCUUUACAAUUUAAAAAACCCAGCUUCCUUCAAAACCAUAUUAUUCUAAUGGCACUUCCUUCCUCACAUUACAUAAAACUAUGUUAUUUUCUCCAAAUCAUUCCCAUCAAAGAAGAUCUUGGUCUCCAAAUCAUUUUUAUUCUUUUUAUUUCUUUCCUCCCCCAAAAAAUGAUCAUAAUAAUGCCAUUUAAUUAGGUUAUUUUAGUACUUCUAUUAAUUAUCUAUACAUUGUUACAAAUAAAUCAUUCAGUAAAUAAGAGAAACAAUUUAGGAGAAAAGAAAAAGGCAAAGAGGCAGAAAGUUAUAUAUAUAAAAAAAAAAGUGGAGGAAAUUAAGAAUAAUAAUUGAUCUCAACAAUAAUAAUAAUGCAUGUGUAUGGUUCUGACUUUGAAUACCGGAUUACUCGCACGCUUCAUAACUCAUUAAUUAAUGAAGUUUGUGAAAGUCAUGAUAUGAGAGGUUUUAAAUAUGAAGCAAACGUGUGUGUUUCUUUUUUCUCUUAAAAAGUUUUUAAAAAGGAAAAAAUCAAAGUCAAUGGCGACACACAAACAUAAUUUGCUCUUACUACAAAACUUUGAUUUUUCAAACCCUAAUUCCUUUGACCAUCCGAAUGUUUUAUGGUAACUUAACAAGAAACCCCCUAUAAUCCUAAUCACUUUAAUUUUCCCAAUUUUCAAAGCUAAAUUCAUACAUUUUCACUAAUUCUUCUUUUAAAAUAUAAAAAUCUUCUUAACUCUUUGUUCCUUUGUUGCUAGACAAACAGGUCGGCCCACUGGAUUCUUUGACUCGGAAUCAUCUAAUUAUAAUUUUCAACGCCCAUAUAUCUCUCUUUCUUUUAAACGUUUUUCUUACGCAAACAACCCCUAAUAUUUUUUCUUAUACUUUACAUUUAAUCCUCACCUAUCUCUCUCUCUCUCUUAUUGCUUCUGUUUUCAAAGAUGGAAAUAAAAAAAAUAUAUCUAAGCUUUUAAUAAAAUAUUGAUGAUCUUGACCUUCCAAACGUUUUUUUUUCUCUCUUAUAUGUUGUUCAUAAUGUUACAUUUCAUAUGAGUACAAAGGAGGAUUCAAAUUUGUUAACUGUUGAAAGAAAUGAGGAUAUAUCUUAGUUAUUGACUUGGUUUUUGUCGUUGGGUUUUUUUUCUUUUCCAUCCAUCGUUUCUCUAGAAACUCCAUAUUAAUGUAGGAUAACUUAACUAAUAUUUGUAAUGUACUUUUACAAAAGUUUUAAGAAAUUUUUACUGUGUAAAUGUAUAAUCAUAACAAAUACUUUUAUUAAUAUUCAAGUUUUUUUCUAAAAAAAGAGAGAUGAAUUGACUCAUUAACUAGUAAUCGUGAAAACUAUAUAUAUAUUUUUUUAAAACAAGUCACUCAAGAGAAAAGAGAUCAUAAGAAGUAUGGUAAUUAAAAAAGACUAUGUAGAUUUAAUUAGUCUUUAGCUUAGUUAAUAAAUUGUUUUAUCACUUUUAAAAGUUAUUAUGUUAUAUGCCGUUUGGAUUGAAAAAUUACUAGAAAUCAUCAUGAAUGGCAUCAAAAUAAAUUUGUUUAUAAAAUAUAGUAAAAAUUGGAUGAAUUUUACAAAAUAAUAAAUGUCCAAAUCAUACCAAAUAGAAGUUUUAUCAAUUAAUAACUAAAUAAUGAUGGAAAUUAAAGAAUUAAAUCCUAUAUCUACUAUGGUUGUAUUAUAAAAGAUUUUUUUUUCGAAGAAUAAUGGAGGAGAUUAAAUGUUAGCUAAGUAACCUUUUACAUGUCAAUAUGUCCAAUAGGAAGAUCAAAACUUGUCAUUUGUGGGUCAUUAUAUUGAUUAAAUUGAUUGCUGUAUUGGAGAUGUGUCACUGUUUUUAGUUUAUUGUAAUUUGAUAUAUGAUUUUUACUUUCCCAAUUUACGUCUUUAAAUUCUAUGGUAAAUAAUCUUAUUUUUAGAAGAACUAGGGAGAUAACUGAGAACACACCACCAUCUCAUAAAAUCUUGAAUUAUUAUUCUUUCAAUUAUUAUCACUUUUUUUUUUUUUUACAAUUUUCUUACUUUAGUUUAGAAAAUCAUCAACUACUAAAUUGUGAUGGGAAACAAAAAUAAUAGAAGAAAAAGUAGUUAGGGUUUGGCAAUAAAUGUUUGAUUUUCUAAGUAGAAGCAAACACAAUCAAACCUAUUAAUAAAACUUAAAGCUUUUUCUUGCAAAGAGGUACAAAGGUUGUCUUAGCCAAAUUUUGAAUGGUCAUAACAUUUUUCAUUAACAACAAAUAAGAAUUGUAUUUAACCCUAAAAUCUUCUUUUCCUUUAAAUAGAAAAUUGAGGCAAUAACAAUAGUUCAAAGCUGAAAAUGAACCAACAAACUAAAUCAUUUUUUCUACUUUGUUUUCCUAUUUUUGAAGCCAUUGAUUCAAUUGCAUAGUAAAAAUGCUCAAAUUUUAUUAAAAUUUUAAUUUUCUCUCACACAAUAAGAGAAAGUUUAGUAUGAUUAUCAUUGAAGUUAAAUUUUGUAUUUAUAUACCAUUAAGUACCCAACUAUAGUCAUUUUUUUUAAAAAAAAUACUUUUCUCCAAGGAGGCAUAAUAUUACAAAACUUUACUAAUAAUAAUAACAAUAAUAGUAAUAUUUCAAAACUAGGGAAUGUAUAAUCAACCUCUAUAAUAUUUAAUUUAAUUGCAAAAUCAUUAUAAAUAUAGACAAACUGAGUAAAAAGUACUUAACUAUUUAAACCAAUAUAGGACAUUGAAUAAAUUAACAUAAUUAAUCAAUGGUUUUAUCACAUUUAUAUUUAUAUAGCUUGGAAAUAUACUCUAUAUAUAACAAGAGAUAAACCAUAAGAAAAGUUUUGUUUUGUCUCUACAAUAUAUUUUUAGUAGAACAGAUGAACAGUAUAUAUUCCAGUGUCCAAAAAAACCCAAACAAAUUAAAAGGUAAAUUAGAUCUAAACAGUUUUUUAGAUACCAUGAAGAUCAAAGCAUAUUUGAUAAUUCUUACUUCUUGAGACAUGCAGAUUGGGAGAUUUAAAUUCCUCUUCUCUUCACCUUUUUUAACAAUGAUGGUUUUCUAUGCUUUUUCUUUCUAAACCUUAUUGUUAUUAUUAUUAUUAUUCAUUAUUCAUUAUUAUUAUUUUGCUUAUAUAAUUAACUUGGGUAUAAGAUAAGGGUUGCCAGUUUUUCAAUUAAUUUAUUUUAUUAAUAUUAUUUGGCAGCUUAUAUCAUUGCUGGUGGCCUCUCUCUGCAACUUAGAUAUUUAGCAAUAUACAUGAACUUUUAUAUUAAUAUACACCAUAUAUUAAACUUUCCCUAAACUCAUAACAUAAAGAAAUUAUGCUAAUAGUAAAUUUGCUGUAACUAUCUAAUUUUCUUUAAAUAUUUUUGUUGCCAAAAUCAACUUUUUCUAUAUACUUUGGAAAUUUAAUGAUUUAAAGUGACUUUAACAUAGAUAAUUGACUAAAUGACUUGAGAUGAUAAAAGAAUGUGUAUAAAGAUAUUUAUUUUAUUUGUAUUAAUUUAAAUUUACUUUUGUGAAAUAAAUAAUCUAAAAAUGAUUUAUUUGAAUUAAUGUUAAAAAAAUUUAAUAUAGAGGAAAUCCGACACCACACCAAAAUUGAUAUUAAAUACAAUCGUAAGAGAAAAACAUUUUUAUUAAAAAUGGUUUUCUAAAAAAUGUUUAAUGCACAAGGUAUUCAAAACAAGUUCUUAUUUAAAUGUCAAAUGAAAAAAUAAUUUUCUUUUGUGAAACAUAUAUUAGCAAUUUUAUAUGUUUAUAGAAUAACAUAUUGUUAAUUAUAAGACAAAAAUCGAAUGCAAUAUAAUGGUUUUUUUUUUUCUUUCAUUUGAUUUUUUAAAAUGUAGUGUUUUGAUUAUCUUUUUUUUCUUUUGAGAAAUUUCAAUCUAAAAAGUCAAAGUUUUGCAACAAGUGAGAUAUGGUAAAAGAAGAAAAGAAAACUAGAAUUAAGAUAUUUAAACACUUUAAAUUAACUAAUCAAUUAAAAUUAAUAGUCAAAAUUAAUGGUCAAAAUUUAGAUAUUAUACACUUAAAAUUUUUGGUGCAUGGUUCGCACUUAUAAUUUUUUAUAAGAUAUAAUAUUUUCUUAAUUAUUUGUUAGUGGACAAGCUGACUGAGUGUUCAAAAAAAAAAAAAAAAAAACCAACCAAGGGAAAACUCUACCUCACGUAAUCAACUGGGCUUUGAAAAAUAUAAUAAACUAGUUCCUUAAAUUGUAUUUUAAACGAAAAAGUAAUUAAAGUAAAAGUUUUGAAAGUUUAGAGUAAAGUUAUAUAUUAUAUAAGUUUAGCAUUAAUUAUAUUAAUUAUUGAAGGAAAAGGAAACACAUUAAGUUGGCGAAGAAAACUAUGUAGAAUUGCAAUGCAACUGUCAUAAGUUUAAUUUAAAAAUAAACAAAAACAAAAACAAAGUGAAUUUUACCUACCCUCUUCAUUUUUAAAUGCCGAGACAGCUUCAAAAACUAAAAUCCUAAUCAACUGGAAAAGGAAAAAAUAAAAUUAAUAAUCAACGUCAUGUUCACGUGAUACAGCACCAAAUAAUAAUUCAAUAAUUCCCACAAUGAUCUUAUCCUCAAUUAAUCUAUUGCCCUUCUAUUCUAAAUCAUAAUCUCAUUACCUUUCUUUUUUCUCUUUAAAUUAAAUCUCAUUGUUUUCUGUAUAAUUUAAAUAAUAUCAUGAUUAAUUAAAUAUUUUCAUGUCUCCGACCAAUUUCUAUUAAAAGGAAAGUUUUUUUUUUUAUCGAAUAUUUUGUUUAACCUCUUCUUUCCAUCUUUCAUUACCCUAUGCUUUCCAUAUUUGCUUAUACAGUGCCUGAAUCAAAAUAUGUGUGUUAACAAAAUAUCAUAUGAGUUAACUCGUUUGAACAUAGUUUAAAUUCAUAGAAAUUUGAAAAUGAAGAACAAUUAUUUUUUAACAACCAUUGUAAUUUUUGAAACUUGGUUUAAUUUUUGAGUAAAUAAUGAAACAUAUAAAUUAAUGUCUAACGAAAAAAACCAUUGGUAAAAUCCAGACUUCAUAUUUGUUGGAUAAUAUCCUUAAAAACCAUAAUGAUAAUUUAAUUAAUUAAGAUACCAUUCAUGGUGAUCAACCUCCAGCUCAUAAUUGAUACAGUUAUAAAGUUAAAAUCUAAGAAUAUAAAAGGUAAAUUUGGAAAUGGUUUGAUUGGAAAAUGAUUAAAUUAAUGAGCGUAAAAUGAUUAGGAUGGGAUUUAGUCGUUAAGAUGAAGAUACUGAAAUUAAAAAGGAAAAUAUGAAGGAAGGAGAAAAGAAAAGAAAAACAUAACCACAGUUUUGGCCGCCUUCCUCCCGUUCCGUUCCCUUCAGAAAUUGGCUGCUUCCGCCGGCAGCCGUCGUUAUCUCCAAUAAACACGGUCCUCACUCCAAGACAAACCCUUAUUUGACCUGGCACAACAUGUGGGCCUCACCUUGUCUUCCCCUUCUUCAGCACACCUAUGUGUCUUGGCCCCACAUGUUCCUUCUCCCCCACACCACUUUCCCUCUCCCAAAUUUUCCUUUCUUUCCUUUCUUUACAUGACGUGGAUAUUGACGUGUCAUCCACACCAUGCAUUUCCAUUUCCCUAUAUAAAUCCCACACUCACAACUUCUCUACUCAUCUCUUUUCUUCCUCUCAUUCCUUCUCUCCUCGCAUCCUUUCAAACUCGUUUUAAUUUUAUCAAAUAAUGGCCGUUGUUGAUAAUUCUGAAUUUUCAACUCCUCUUGGACCGCCUGCCUGCGAGAAAGAUGCCAAAGCCCUUCGUUUUAUAGAAGAAACCACUACUAAUACUGACUCGGUUCAGCAAAGGGUUUUGGCUGAGAUUCUCACCCAAAACGCUCACACUGAAUAUGUCAACCGGUUCCGGCUCAAUGGAGCUACCGACCGGGAUACCUUUAAAUCCAAAUUUCCUGUUGUCACUUAUGAAGAUCUCCAACCUGAUAUUCAACGUAUUGCUAAUGGCGAUCGCUCUCCUAUUUUUUCAUCCCAUCCCAUUUCUGAAUUCCUCACCAGGUUUCAUUUCGUAAUUCCCCCUUUUUUUUGCUAUUAUUAUUUAUUAAUUAAACUAAAUUAACUUAGGGUUAAUUAUAUAUGUUUAAUAAUUUAUCCAGUUCUGGGACAUCGGCUGGAGAGAGAAAAUUGAUGCCGACAAUUAAAGAAGAAAUGGAACGGCGUCAAUUACUAUACAGCCUUCUCAUGCCCAUCAUGAAUCUGUAGGUUUUCUUCUUUUUUUAAAUUAAAAAAAAAUAAUUUGGUGAAAAUUAUAUAUAAAAAAAAUUUGACAAUGAAAAAAAAUAUAUAUAAUUUUCAGGUAUGUGCCGGGAUUGGACAAAGGAAAAGGACUCUACUUUUUAUUCGUGAAGGCGGAGACUAAGACUCCUGGAGGUUUGGUGGCUCGUCCAGUACUGACUAGUUAUUACAAGAGCGAUAUCUUCAAGACUCGGCAUUAUGACCCUUUCAAUGACUACACUAGCCCUAACGAGGCGGUUUUAUGCGCUGAUUCUUUUCAAAGCAUGUACACUCAAAUGUUAUGUGGCUUGUUGAUGCGUGACCAAGUCCUCCGCGUUGGUGCGGUUUUUGCCUCCGGUCUCCUCCGUGCCAUUCGCUUUCUCCAGCUUAACUGGAAACAGCUGGCACACGACAUCUCCACCGGAACCCUAAACCCUAAAAUCACGGACACUUGUCUUCGUGAAUGUAUAACCUCCAAAUAUCUAACAAACCCGAAGCCGGAGCUGGCGG